GUCGCGGAGCAUCCGAGAAGCCCGGCGGCGCGAGCAAGCAACACACCCAGCAUCGGGGAUGCUGAACACACGCCUUCCUUUAUAAGGAUCAAAGUUCCGCGGCCGUUUCCUUGUACAGCAGAAACGCGGAGCGGCAGCCGCACGGAAAAUUGUGUUUUCGGCAACUUUCGCAGAUUUCACGCUGCGCCCCUCCUGGCAAACGGCGGUACUGCAGCUUCUUCUGCCCCGACCGCUCCUCUCGUAAUAGAAGCGCGGGGAAUCCUACUGGCUAACUAUGCAGAAGUUGGGAGAUCUAAUGGUUUUGCAACCGUUUCCGAAGGAGUACUCUAACAUAGCAUUAUUAUUUUUUCAGUGUUAGGUUUUGGACUACAUCUCGCAGAAUCCCCCAGCCAGCAGCCGGAAGAAAGUAGCAAUCAGAAAAUAAGCAGUUUCCAAAUUUUGAGGGGG